rnacentral:rRNA from 1 species
GAUGAACGCUGGCGGCGUGCUUAACACAUGCAAGUCGAACGGGAAAUAUUUCAUUGAGACUUCGGUGGAUUUGAUUUAUUUCUAGUGGCGGACGGGUGAGUAACGCGUGGGUAACCUGCCUUAUACAGGGGGAUAACAGUCAGAAAUGGCUGCUAAUACCGCAUAAGCGCACAGAGCUGCAUGGCUCAGUGUGAAAAACUCCGGUGGUAUAAGAUGGACCCGCGUUGGAUUAGCUAGUUGGUGGGGUAAUGGCCCACCAAGGCGACGAUCCAUAGCCGGCCUGAGAGGGUGAACGGCCACAUUGGGACUGAGACACGGCCCAGACUCCUACGGGAGGCAGCAGUGGGGAAUAUUGCACAAUGGGGGAAACCCUGAUGCAGCGACGCCGCGUGAAGGAAGAAGUAUCUCGGUAUGUAAACUUCUAUCAGCAGGGAAGAUAGUGACGGUACCUGACUAAGAAGCCCCGGCUAACUACGUG